AACAUAGACGGCAUCCAUUGUCAUCACUGCUGGGAACUCUGCCGCCUGGAAUUCUAGGGCAGCUAGGACACCAACCUUGACAGGAACUGCUCACUACCCCUAUAGCCAAGAAAAGAAAAAUGGGGGCUGGCUUAGACUGUCCUUCAAGCUAGCUGACUGCUGGCCAGCACUCUGAGUCAUGCAGCCUUUGUCCUGGAGGAUGGAAAACACCAGCUGAUCUGGCAUCCCCCCAACCUGCUUUCAGCAGGAACGCUGUGAGCUUGGUGACCCUGGCACCUCCUCUUGGCAACUUCGCACACCAAUCCAACAGCUCUGGUGGGAACUCCUGCUGCAUGAGCUACGCCUGGAAUCUCCCUUCUCCCUGCGAGACUCCAUCAUGGCACACCCACUGAAGACCUGAAUAAAGGCUGCCCUACUGUGCUUCAGCACACACCAUCAAAAAGGUGGUAGCCGCCAUGAAUUAAAGUGGGGAAAUUUGGAGGUGGGCGAUCAAGGGUGGGAGUAUCAAGAAGGUAGAUUAAACUAGUGUUCCACCCUCCCCCACAUUAUAGGAUACCCGCAACACUAUCCUUGCAAGCCACUGUAAACACUUGACGGAAGCCACUGAAGGCUCUGAGACUAGAAGGAUCUAUUCUGGCUACACUGUUGCAACUAGAAUCCAAGCAGUGAAAAGCCAAGGGUGGGGGCCAGAGAGAGACAAGAAACAGAAGAGCAGCAGUUUGUUUGAAUCCAAAAGGUCUGACAGCCUAUGUUUUGAAUCCUUUUCCUCCUGGAUGUUUGGAGGUUGUAGAAACUUUCACAGGCAGGCAGUUUGCAGGGGCGGGCCUUCGGAGGUGAUUGACACCUGCCCUGCUUGGCCUGGCUCUGUACUUUGUUUUCUGUUCUGCCUUCUUGAGAAGCCAAGCACUUCCCUACCCUACCACCUCAACCCCUGCAAUCCCA